CCUACGGGGGGCAGCAGUGAGGAAUAUUUGUCAAUGGACGCAAGUCUGAACCAGCCAUGCCGCGUGCAGGAAGACGGCUCUAUGAGUUGUAAACUGCUUUUGUACGAGGGUAAACGCAGAUACGCGUAUCUGUCUGAAAGUAUCGUACGAAUAAGGAUCGGCUAACUCCGUGCCAGCAGCCGCGGGAAUACGGAGGAUUCAAGCGUUAUCCGGAUUGAUUGGGUUUAAAGGGUGCGUAGGCGGUCGGAUAAGUUAGAGGUGAAAUCCCGAGGCUCAACUUCGGAAUUGCAUCUGAUACUGUUAGGCUAGAGUGUAGUAGCGGUAGGCGGAAUGUAUGGUGUAGCGGUGAAAUGCUGAGAGAUCAUACAGAACACCGAUUGCGAAGGCAGCUUACCAAGCUACUUCUGACGUUGAGGCACGAAGGCGUGGGGAGCAAACAGGAUUAGAUACCCCUGUAGUC
rnacentral:rRNA from 1 species